UGUUAGGUCAAGUUGUGGGGGUUCCUUUAUUUAUUUCGUUUUCUAUCAUUUUCUCUCAUUUUGGGGAUGCAUCUCUCUGUUCUGUGUAUUGUUCUUUGUUUUAAGGUCAGUUUUCUUCUUCUUUUCUUUUUUUUGUUUUUUUGGGUUUUUUUUUGUGGGCUUUCAGUGAUUUGAUAUUUUCAUUUUCCAUUUUGCUGUGAAUUUUCUUCAAUUUGAUCGAACAUCUCGAUACGAACAGUUUGACAGACAAAUGAUAAACCUAACACAUGCAUGCUCUGAUUUCCUUGGUAGGUCAUAUUUUUCACUUUCUGGAUGUGCAAAGUUUGGAUAGUACACAUCACCGGGCCAAACCUUUCUCAGGAAUGUCAUUCUAAAAGGAUAUUGGCAGGAGGGGGUGGAAUGUCAUUCUAAAAUAUAUGUAAUUCAAUUCUCUCAUUUUCUAUAGCAGAAUUGCAGAUUUCUAAAUCGAAAAGGAAAAACAAACACUAUAGCAGCAUGUAAAGGGGAAGCACAGGUAAAGGUUUCUGAUGUCAGUUGGCUGUUUCUUUUUAGUGUUUUCAAUUUGUUCCUUUUAUUCUGUCUGCAAUUUAUAAUCUGUGGUUAUGCAUCAAUUUCUCUGCUUCUUCUUUAUAAAUCUUGCAGGUCAGGACAACACACUUAUCGGGGCAAUGUUGGGAUGUUUAGGCUUGGGUGGAGACAUGGACUUUUGGAAGAGGUGAAUUAGCUUAGCUCUCUGUCAUUAGCUUUAUCUGUUCUAUGCAUCUCUACAAUCUUACAAUGCUCCUUUAUUAAAUUGCAAGAUGUUGGGACCCGUUACUGAAAUACAAGAUUUGGAACAAAAGUGGUUGACAAUGCUAGAGUCGAAAGCAAGUGUGAAAUUCACAUUGAAAAUGACAGGAGAGGGUUGCGCAUGAUCUGUAGGUUCAAUCAAUCUCGCUGUUUUCGUUAGAAUCACAAUUAAAGGUCAGUUUUUCCGACAUUUUUUUUUUCUUUUUGCUGCAUGUUUAUGUAUGGUUGGUCUAUGAGAUUUUGUUUUUAGUCACUGUUGAUUUGCAGUUUAUGUCUCCCUUUAGCUACAUAUUGACACAUGUUUAUUCUCAGCAUUUUUUUGUUAGGGUAAGUGGUUUGGUGGUUUGGUGAGUUCUAUAUUAUUAUAUAAUCUUUGGGGCUAUUUUAAGUAAAAAUGAAAUGUUAACAUUGAUAUAGCAUACGGCACACUGAAUUCACACUCCUGUAUUCGGUCUUCAUGUUUCCAUUGCAACACUCUGCAUUUCCUAACCAACGAAUUUUUUGAUAAAGACGUUAAAGCAAUUACAUGCUCUAUCAAGUAUGUUUUAUAUGUAGUUGUGGUAGUUGCAAGGAAAUGAAAUAUUUGUGCUGAUAACUGGUAGUUUAAAUAUAUAGAAAUAGAGAAUAAUUAUAAAUGGAGCACCUAGGAUAUUUAACAUUGUUUUCUUUUCCAUGUAAGCUCACACGCUCAGAUUUCAACGCGUUUCGAAGGUGGAAAUGACAAGAAUGUGCAGUGUGGACCUCCAAUUUCUAGUGCUAUGAUGCAUGAGGACUGCCAAAGUGAGAAUAUUGGUUAGUUGUCAUCAAGCAGCCCUUGUAGAUGUGUAUUUUGUUUAUAUAUUGCUAGUUUAACCAUUAGUACGUUUGACUUGGGGAUACAAGCUUGGAUAUGUUAUAUUUUGUUGUAUAUAGAGAAUCCCGGGUAUGUCCAGCAUAGGAUAACAUGUAUUUUUUGGUUUAACAUUUGGAUGGGUUGUAUUGUUAGGUUGCAUGAAUCGGUCUUAGCCGAGAACAUGGGUUAUGUAAUAUAUUAACUUCACUAUUUUAGUGCUAAUGUUGAUUUAUGUUUAGUUUGUAA